AUUGAACGCUGGCGGCAGGCCUAACACAUGCAAGUCGAGCGAGCGGCGGACGGGUGAGUAACAUAUCGGAACGUACCGAGUAAUGGGGGGUAACUAAUCGAAAGAUUAGCUAAUACAGCAUAUUAUUCGAGCGGCCGAUAUCUGAUUAGUUGGUUGGGGGGGUAAAGGCCUACCACGGUGACUAUCAGUAGCGGGUCUGAGAGGAUGAUCAGCCACACUGGGAAUGUGACACGGCCCAGACUCCUACGGGAGGCAGCAGUGGGGAAUUUUGGACAAUGGGCGCAAGCCUGAUCCAGCCAUGCCGCGUGUCUGAAGAAGGUCUUCGGGUUGUAAAGGACUUUUGUCAGGGAAGCGGUACCUGAAGAAUAAGCACCGGCUAACUACGUGCCAGCAGCCGCGGUAAUUC
rnacentral:rRNA from 1 species